rnacentral:lncRNA from 1 species
GUGUAAUUAACAUGCAUGAUACAUAUGCAUAUACACAAUACAGCUUCUUUUUAGUGCACACUUCUGUGAGUUUAGAUGAAUGAAAUUUGUAUAACAAUAAAAUUUCAAUUUUUAAUAAGCCUAUAAGAUUUGUUGGAGUCAAAACUUCUUUCAGACCCCAGACUCUAGAAAUAUUUGUUCUUCUGUAUUUUGUUGUACUAGGUUCGGUAGACCUAGGGAAAUGCAGACACCAAAUAGCAUGUGUGUUAGAUAAAAAAUGCAAAAACAUGCUCAAAACAACCUUGCUCCAGGAAUAGACUAAGAAAAUUUAUGAACUGCGAGUUAUAUAAGGGCAUCUCUGGACCACAAGCUCAUAUCUAUCUUGUAGAUCACUUCCAGUAAGUAUAAUGGGCUUCUUUUUACUCCCGAGUCUAAGGAAGAAAAUCAGUUUCUACUAUCUCCACCACAGUAAUCACAGAUUAUUUUCCUUCUUUUUGCUUUCAGGAUCUUACGUGUGUUUUCACCACUUACUUUGUGAUUCCAGAGUAGAGGAAGCAGUCUCCUGUGCUGAUGGUCAAAGGUCGGUUUCCAGACAAUGA